AUUUUGGUGGCUGAAUUCAGGCAAUAGAUUGUAAAUCUAGGAAUGGAGACCCCUCCCCUUGCUA
rnacentral:tRNA from 1 species